GAAAGGGAAGCGAAUGGAGUUAGCAAUUCGCCUCGCCAGAUUCAGUUUCUCGCCUCCCGAGACGCGCGUCAUCUCGAUCUCUAUAGACGAGUGGCGUGCGGACGCGGGACGUGAGAGGCGCACUUCUGGCGGGCGAGCGUCAACGUCGGUUUCGGACGAGCUACAAGGUCGAGGGGAAGGUGGAUCGAUCUUCGGAUCGGUUGUUAAGCCCCUCGAACGCACGGCUCGUCCGAGACCGAGGCAUACUUGGCGACGCGUGCCUCCCUCUCGCGGGGGUUGGCGGGUGUCCCGUUUCGUUUGUUCGGCUGUCGACCGUGGCGGACGGCACGCCUGUGCGCUCGAACCGCUGCCGUUCAACGAAUCGGUGAUCACACUAGACGCGUCUACGACGUUGACGACCAUACGGCUCUAUCCGACCCGUCUUGAAACACGGACCAAGGAGUCUAACAUGUGCGCGAGUCUCCGGGUGAUCGAAACCCGUGGGCGAAAUGAAAGUAAAGGCAGCCUACGCUGCUGAGGUGAGAAGCGUCGCCGUAUAGGCGGCGCCGCAUCAUCGACCGACCUAUUCUACUCCUAGAACGGUUU
rnacentral:rRNA from 1 species